GUGAAAGCCUGUGUUCUCUUCACCAACAUCUCCAUCUUUCACUGCGAUCCGCUCAUUUCAGGUCCAGUCAGGAACUCAGCUGUCCAAGGAGAACAGAGAACUCGUGCUUCCACCUGGACCAGGAGCGUUCCUCCUGUGGCCAGCCUGGCUCCGGUUGGUACACGUGGCUGUUCUGAGGGACACGCAAGACAUGGCGAUGGGCUGUCACUGCCAUGCCAAGGGGAACACAGGCCAAAGAGAAGAAUUGAAAAGCCUGUUUGGCUGAGGCAGCACACUGUUGUGCCAUGCGGGCCGCUACAAAGAGCCCAGGAGAUAUCAGCAGAUUAUUUACGGUGGUCAUUACCUGCAGCUUCCAGCACCUUCUGGCUAUCCAAACUUAGGGAGGAAAUUAGGGAGAUUAAUUCUUUCUUCAGUGAAAAGAUUAAUAACUCUAAUUAAUUGAGGGUAAGAAAACCAGAUUGCAGGGCAGUACUGAAAAAAUAAACUAUAGACCCCUAUACAGGAGCAAAAAAAUAAUGAUAAAGGACCCCGAGCACUUGGGAAUGAGAAGUGUACAGAAGUGGGCCAAAGUCACAAGCAAGCACUGGGGAGCAUAAAGUGGGCAGCAAGCUGAUAAGAAGCUGAUAUGGAGGGAAGAGUUGCACCUGUCUGCAGCAGCUGCAAUGCAUGGGAGGUAAAUGGGAGGAGGAACAAAAGUCUAACUCAAAUUCUGAGGGAAGGUGAGAACCUGGGCAGUGCCGGAGUAUGGAGAAAGUGGACACGGGGCCAUGCUUUGAGGAUAGAGGACCCCCAGCUGUUAUCUCAAGAAAUUUAUACAAGAGGACUGACAGAAAGAAA
ensembl:lncRNA